GUGGAGCCUGGCGACUGCUUUGGGAAGUCCUGCUGGCAGGCACUCUGCCCCUGGGGGUGUGCAAAGAGUUGUCCAGUUACCUUGAUCUUCUCACAGCCUCCUCCCCAGGGCACCGGCAGAGACCAGGAUUGGAGGACGGUAAAGAACACACUUCCCAGAGGAUUCUUGGAGGUGGCUUCCUCCAGGCAGGAAAUCUACAGCCCAGGCUCCCUGCAUCUUAUGGCUCCAAUCACUUUGGAUCUCAUCGUCGCCUGCACCUUGCCAUACACAGGGAAGGAGAAGAGAUAGAGAAGGCAAAAACUUUCUGAAAGCCGUGGCUAAAAGCUGGCAUGUGUCACAUCAGUUCACAUUCCAUUGUGGAGACGGGGUUUCACCGUGUUAGCCAGGAUGGUCUUGAUCUCCUGACCUCGUGAUCCGCCCGCCUUGGCCUCCCAAAGUGCUAGGAUUACAGGCGUGAGCCACCGCUCCCGGCCUGGCAGGCAUUCUUGAGGCAAACGGGAAAUGGGGUAAGUUACACAAUCGAUACAGCUCCGUCGUCGCGGUUUAAUCACUUUUCCACGUACCAUGUUUCCUGACAGGUAGAACGAUCGGCCUGGGCCUCCGUUUUUCAUUCUACAAAGAAUGAAGUGCAUGAACUGUCCUCUAUAGAAUUGUGGAAAAAGUUGUUUUUAUUGAGUUGUGGUUAUCUUUGUCUUCAUGGUCUAAUUACGGAAAUAAAUGCUUUUCCGAGUCUCCAAGGAUGGCCUGCCCUAGUCCAGCUCUCUGCAGUGUCUUUCUGGGUUUUUCCUCAGUGAACGGGAGGAACAUUGGCAGCACUUGUGGUCUGCACCAAGAACUGAAUCGAAUUUCCAUGUGUUACUGAAUGUUCACAAAGACCUUGUACAGCGAGUGUUACUACCUCUGGUCAGUGAUUCAUCUCAAGGCUCAGAAAAGUCAAGUGUCUUGUCCAGGGACACUUAGUCAGAAGUGAAUCCAAGGUUUAAGCUCAAGUCUGCCUAACUCUGAAUUUCACAGCCUUUUGCUACAUAUGGCGAAUAAUAUAUCCCUGAGCACUAAAGGCAGACUCCAAGGAUCUUUUCUCUGCAAUCAUCAUUCUGGCCAUAAUUUAUGAAAAGCAACCCAAAGUAUGUGAUGUCAUAAAAAGUACUAUCUAUGAGUUUACCCUUCCAAAAAUUGAACUGAAUUCUGAGCUCUAAAUUUGGAAUCAAAAGAACUUUUCUCUGCACUAAUCAUUUGGAACAUCACUUAAAGAAAACAACGAAAAACUGGUGUCCCCUGAGAGAAAGCAAUACAAAGCAUUAUGCAUAAAGAAAUCCUUCCAAAAAAUAAACCAAAUCCAGUCAAAUCUCUAGUUUUGACUCCUAGCUUACCGGAAAUACGUGAUGGGAAAAAAAUGAAAUGACACCACUAUGAUUCAAUCAGCCAAAUCCAGCAUAUGCAAGUUUCUACCAGAUAAAUGGUUUAGUUUCUUCCCCAGACAAAUGGCACAAGGAAACGGAGAUGGAGUUCCCCUCUGCCACCCAGACUGGAGUACAGUGGCACGAUCCUGGCCAUUGUAACCUCCACCUCCCAGAUCCCUCCUACAACACAUGAGAAUUGUGGGUGCUACAAUUCAAGAUGAGAUUUGAGUGGGGACAAAGUCAAACCAUAUCAUUAGAUAAGACACUGGAGAAAGGCAAGAAAGAAAAGACAUCUGAAGAAUGAAGGGAGCCAAAGAAAUGCCAACAUUUUGCUUUUUGAAGAAAAGCUAAAUUAAAGUCAAAAUGGAUUUAUCAAUUUCCUUGGGUUCGUGAAUGUACAGAACUUUAUUAAGACUGUCAUGCUGUCAUCAUGGCUGGAUCUGAUACGGCCACCGUGGACCUUGAGGUGACCUCGGGAAUGGAGACAGUGCAUGGGAGAGAAUCACAUUGGAAGGGGCCUGGGUUUCUGAAGACCCUGUAAGACAGAUCUCCUUGCAGCCCUGACUGCCCACAUUAGGGCUUUUAUGUUAGGGUGAAGUUACCUUGCAUUGUCAUAUAAGCAAUUGCUAUCUGUGGUGUCUUGCAAAUAAACCUAUUCUGAUCUAGUAUGUUUCCUAA
rnacentral:lncRNA from 1 species